UUUUUUUUUGGCUAUGGUCCUGCUUCUAUGGUAUGUAUUGAUUGAGACUAAUAAUUGAAUUUAGGCCUUGCUUUCCCUUAGCCCAGAUAGUCAUUUGUCAUUAUGAUAAGUAUCAUAGACUCAAGCUAAAUUGACUCGCCAAGAACUGAAAUUGGCCACAAUAACAUUUGGCUAUAUGAAUCAGGAAAGAGCACUAAAGGCAAGAAGGAAUGCUUUCUAGCAAUUGCAGGGGUGGCAAAUUAAAAUUUGGCAAUAUGGAUAUCAGCUUUGGGUUCAAGAUAGGAAGAGGCAGUAGAGAUCUGUAACAGCAUUGCACUUAAAGAGGGAACCAUCCAAGGCCAAAUUAAGACAGAGGACUCUGGGUUGAAGGGGAGAUAGUGGAACAAGCAUAAUAAGAUGGAAAGAGUUGGAAAGAGUUAAUAGAGAACAAUGUGGAAACUUGGAGGAGGUGGUGAAGAGAUGAUUGGGCCAUGGAGCAGAUCUUAAUAAGGGAAGAUGCUGAGAACAGCUUGGGGGAAGGCGUGAGUUGGGAGAAGAAAGGCUGGAAGGACAGACAGGAUGAACUGCUAACAAAGAAACUGUUGGUGAAAGAGUGAAGGAGUGAGCUGGCAAUCCUUCAACCUUGGAGCCCUUGGACUUACCUUGGGGAAAGAUAAAUAAGAACGGUAAUGAACGUCUUGAGAAACUGCCUGGAUGUUCUGGUGUUUUACAAUCCUUGUGGGAGGUUUCUCUCAUGUCCCCAUGAGAGACAUGAGCUGGAUCUGACAGAGGAAGCUCAUCUGUGUUCUUCCUGGAUUCGAACCGGCAACUUUCAGGUCAGAAACCUAACCUGCAGGUCAGCAGUCCUGCCGGCACAAGGGGGCUCCAAAUAACAUUAGGUGAAUGCUCCUCACCCAUUAUAACUCUUAAAACCUCACCCAAGUAUUUGAAACACAGCAAUUAAAUAAAUAAAUAAAUAAAUAAGCAAAUGUGGAGAGAAAAUCUUUCCAUGCAAUUCUUCCAGAUGUGGCAAAUGUCUCAGGAGGUUGUUGUAGUUCUAUGGGUUUAGUAAAAAUAUUGAAAUGACUUUUCUGUUGACCCUGGCUAUUUUCCUGCAAUUCUUGGCAUUCGCUGAAAUGCUUCAUUUCCACACUUCAGCCAACUUCUUUUUAAUUCACCGAAAAAAAGAGUCUUUCUUUCUCGUUUAUAUAUUUUUAAUGUUACAUUUUUUAAAAAAACUCCAGUCAAAUUGUUGAAGAUUAAUAGGGGCACUAAUUAAACAUAUCAAGGUACUUUCUACCAUAGGUGAUGGACAUGUAACAAAGCAAAAUGAUACACUAUUGGAGAUUAAAACGAAACGUGAUACUGUAUAUAGUUUUGUAUAGUUAAAAUAUGUAUGUUAUUUAAAAAAAACCCAAAUGGACACUGAUACAAGUUUAAAAGUAAAGAGAAAACUGAUGUUCAUUUGGAAAUCCCAAUUGAACUAAAAUUGGAUCUAGCUGCAUUUUAAUUUUAAACUUCAUAAUUGUUGUCACAAUGGCACCACCGGUAGAUAGAUAAAUCUGUUAAUUGAUUUGGCCACUGAACAGAUUAACAAUAAACAACAAAAACAAAAAUACUCAGACAAAUAGACAUGAAUCACUAUCCCAAAACUCUUGUAAUAGUUAAGUAAAAUAAAUUAAAACACCUUAAUAAAUUAAAAGACUUGAUUAAAUAAUAAUCAUAGAAUCAUAGAAUAGUAGAGUUGGAAGAGACCUCAUGGGCCGUCCAGUCCAACCCCCUGCAAAGAAGCAGGAAAUCGCAUUCAAAGCACCCUCGACAGAUGGCCAUCCAGCCUCUGUUUAAAAGCCUCCAGAGAAGGAGCCUCCACCCAGUUUGGUAAAAUGAGAAUAAAUUACAAGAUGGAAGCAGGGGGAGUAGAGUCAUAAGUGUAAAAUAAUCCCUUGGACAAUUUAGAUAAGUUCAUCGCCAUGACAAGGGACCCCGUUCUGUGAGAUGAAGAGAUCUCUCAUGUGGACGACUUUUAUAAUGAAUUUUGCUAUGUAGUGGACUAAGUGCAGAUUCUCCCAAGAAAGAAAAUAAGACGGUUUGGCAAUUGGAUCUCAGUUGGUUGUUCUCUUGAAAUAGAGAACAACCAACUGAGAUCCAAUUGCCAAAAAAAAGUGAUGGGACUAUAGCAGCAGGCCAAAAACUAUCUACAGCCUUAGCUAAUGCUAAGAAAGACCGUUGGAUAG
ensembl:lncRNA